UACGUAGGGGGCAAGCGUUGUCCGGAUUUAUUGGGCGUAAAGAGCGUGUAGGCGGCCUGAAAGGUCAGCUGUGAAAACUCGAGGCUCAACCUCGAGACGUCGGUUGAAACCAUCUGGCUAGAGUCCGGAAGAGGAGUGUGGAAUUCCCGGUGUAGCGGUGAAAUGCGCAGAUAUCAGGAGGAACACCGAUGGCGAAGGCAGCUCGCUGGGACGUGACUGACGCUGAGACGCGAAAGCGUGGGGAGCAAACAGG
rnacentral:rRNA from 1 species